GCUGUAAAUGAUUCGUGCUACCAGAAUGAUGAUUCAGUCUUAAAGUCUCUUGUUGAGAUUGCAGAUACUGUUCCAAAGUAUUUGCGUCCUCACUUGGAAGCAACUCUACAACUAAGUCUAAAGGUAAAUUAAACAGUUCAGUAAAUAUUGUGCUUAUUAUUUUCAAGUAACAACCUAAACUAUUAAAUGUAUUCAAAUACCUCUUCUUUGUAGUUGUGUGGAGACACAAGCCUCAACAACAUGCAGCGCCAGCUUGCCCUUGAAGUGAUCGUGACACUCUCAGAGACUGCAGCUGCUAUGUUAAGAAAACAUACUAAUAUUGUUGCUCAGACAAGUAAGUCAGAGGUCUUCAAACAGUUUGU
rnacentral:lncRNA from 1 species